rnacentral:rRNA from 1 species
UACGUAGGGUGCAAGCGUUGUCCGGAAUUAUUGGGCGUAAAGAGCUCGUAGGCGGUCUGUCGCGUCGGCUGUGAAAACCCGGGGCUCAACCCCGGGCCUGCAGUCGAUACGGGCAGACUAGAGUGCGGUAGGGGAGACUGGAAUUCCUGGUGUAGCGGUGAAAUGCGCAGAUAUCAGGAGGAACACCGGUGGCGAAGGCGGGUCUCUGGGCCGUAACUGACGCUGAUGCACGAAAGUGUGGGGAGCAAACAGG